GAUGAACGCUAGCUACAGGCUUAACACAUGCAAGUCGAGGGGUAACGAGAGGAAAGCUUGCUUUCCUUGUCGACGACCGGCGCACGGGUGAGUAACGCGUAUCCAACCUGCCCCCAACUAAGGAAUAACCUUGCGAAAGUAAGACUAAUACCUUAUAAUUUCCUCAGAUGUCAUCUGACGAGGAAUAAAGAUUUAUCGGUUGUGGAUGGGGAUGCGUCUGAUUAGCUUGUUGGCGGGGUAACGGCCCACCAAGGCAACGAUCAGUAGGGGUUCUGAGAGGAAGGUCCCCCACAUUGGAACUGAGACACGGUCCAAACUCCUACGGGAAGCAGCAGUGAGGAAUAUUGGUCAAUGGGCGAAAGCCUGAACCAGCCAAGUAGCGUGCAGGAUGACGGCCCUAUGGGUUGUAAACUGCUUUUAUACAGGAAUAAAGUUAGCCACGUGUGGUUAUUUGUAGGUACUGUAUGAAUAGGGACCGGCUAAUUCCGUGCCAGCAGCCGCGGUAA
rnacentral:rRNA from 1 species